UACGUAGGGUGCAAGCGUUGUCCGGAAUUAUUGGGCGUAAAGAGCUCGUAGACGGUCUGUCGCGUCGAAUGUGAAAACCCGGGACUCAACUCCGGGCCUGCAUUCGAUACGGGCAGACUAGAGUUCGGUAGGGGAGACUGGAAUUCCUGGUGUAGCGGUGAAAUGCGCAGAUAUCAGGAGGAACACCGGUGGCGAAGGCGGGUCUCUGGGCCGAUACUGACGCUGAGGAGCGAAAGCGUGGGGAGCAAACAGG
rnacentral:rRNA from 1 species